CAAGGGGAGCGGCAGACGGGUGAGUAACACGUGGGGAUCUGCCCAAUGGUACGGAAUAACUCAGGGAAACUUGUGCUAAUACCGUAUGUGCCCUUCGGGGGAAAGAUUUAUCGCCAUUGGAUGAACCCGCGUCAGAUUAGCUAGUUGGUGUGGUAAAGGCGCACCAAGGCGACGAUCUGUAGCUGGUCUGAGAGGAUGAUCAGCCACACUGGGACUGAGACACGGCCCAGACUCCUACGGGAGGCAGCAGUGGGGAAUAUUGGACAAUGGGCGCAAGCCUGAUCCAGCCAUGCCGCGUGAGUGAUGAAGGCCUUAGGGUUGUAAAGCUCUUUCGCCGACGAAGAUAAUGACGGUAGUCGGAGAAGAAGCCCCGGCUAACUUCGUGCCAGCAGCCGCGGUAAUACGAAGGGGGCUAGCGUUGUUCGGAAUCACUGGGCGUAAAGCGCACGUAGGCGGAUUGUUAAGUCAGGGGUGAAAGCCUGGAGCUCAACUCCAGAACUGCCCUUGAUACUGGCAAUCUCGAGUCCGGAAGAGGUAAGUGGAACUGCGAGUGUAGAGGUGAAAUUCGUAGAUAUUCGCAAGAACACCAGUGGCGAA
rnacentral:rRNA from 1 species